rnacentral:lncRNA from 10 species
AAAAAUCUUCUCAACUUUGCAAACUAAUUUAUUUAUUUAAAUAGAAAAGGGGUUUUCGCCAUGUUGCCCCGGCUGGUCUUGCACUCCUGGGCCCAGGCGAUCCGCCCGCCUCGGCCUCCCAAAGUGCUGGGAUUAUACGCAUGAGCCACCGCGCCCUUCCGCAACCUAUUUUUAAGAAAGGGCGCCAGGCGCGGUGGCUCAUGCCUGUAAUCCCAGCACUUUGGGAGGCCGAGGCGGGCGGGUCAUGAGGUCAGGAGUUCGAGACCAGCCUGACCAACAUGGUGAAACCCUGUCUCUACUAAAAAUACAAAAAUUAGCCGAGGGUGGUAGCACGUGCCUUUAAUCCCAGCUCCUCGGGAGGCCGACCCAGGAGAAUGGCUUGAACCCGGGAGGCGGAGGUUGCAGUGAGCCAAGACUGCACCAUUGCCCUCCAGCACGGUCAACAAGAGCGAAACUCCGUCUCAAAAAAAAAAAGAAAAAGAAAAAGAAAAAAAAGGGGAAAACCAAGAUUAAGAAGUCAAAAGUUGUAUGUGAUUUGCCAAGGACACAUAGCCUUGGUUUCUUCUUUGUUGUCUUUCCCUUGAACUAUAAGGCUCGGCAAGCUCGAGCUGCAUUCUCUUGUCCCCCGACCCCCACCCCGCCCCCUCAUUUUGUUCUGUCAUCUUGUUUGCUUCUACUUUCCCCCUUCCAUACUCUGCUUGAAUACACUGGCCUCAUUGCAGCUCCUUCAACUGGGCAAUCAUUCUCUUACCUCAGGGCCUUUUGUCUGGCUUCCACCAGCUAGCCACAUACUUACUCCCUCACAUAAUAUCUGCUCGAAUGUCCCCAUAUCCGAGAUCUUCCCUAACCAUAUUUCUUUUUCCCUGCAUUAAGAGACAGGAUUUCACUCUGUCACCCAGGCUGGAGUGCAGUGGCGCAAUCACGGCUCACAGCAGCCUCAAACUCCCGGGCACAAAUGCCUAACCAUAUUUCUAAAAUGGUGCUUCUCCUUAGUUUCUAUCCCUGUGCCUUAUAUUUCUUCUUAGCAUCCACGUAUUUGUUUUUGUCUUGUCUCACUUGACUAAAUUCGGUGAGAGCAAGGAAUUGUUUUGUUUACUGUAUCCUCAACACACAGUACAAAGCCUAGUAGUUGACAUUUAAGAGUAUGAUAGAUAUUUAUUGGAUAGAUGGAUGGACAGCAGGAUUUAAACUCACGUUAGGCUGGUUCCAAAACCUGGUACAUUUUUCACUGCAACCAAGAAACUAUGAAGCCAGAUCCACUAGCUACCAAGCCAUCUCAGCUUUAGAAGUGAGAGGCUGGAUGGCUUGGGAAAACAUGCUAAGAAUUUCAGUUCUCUCCCCUAGGUGACAUCAGAGACUCCAAGAAGCUAGGACACUACACUGCAAAAUAAAAAAGCAGUAGAUCAGAAAAAAGCAAUCUUUUGGUAACAUGCACUUGUCAUCUCUCUUUGCUGAAAUUCAGAGGCAAUAUAAUGAGUGAUCAAGAGCAUGGAUCCUGGAGUGAUCGAGAGCAUUGAUCCUGGAGCCAGACUGCCUGAAUAUAAACCCCACUUCCUCUACUUACUAGUGGCAUGACCCCGGGCAAGGGACAUAAGUUUUCUGCCUUAGCUUCCUCAUUUGCAAGCCAGGAAUAACGAUGUCUAUCUCAUUGGGUUUUGUGAAGAUUAAACAGCUGAUAUAUUGGAAAAUGUUUACAACAGUCAGUGCUGUGUAAAUGUUAGCUAUUUUUAAUCAUAAGCUUUCUAUUCAGUUGUGUAGAAGGUUUGGUUCAUGAUCCCAUUCUUCCUGUGCAUACAGAAGACAAAAGGGAAGAGAAAACUAUCCUAGACCACUCUAUAGAAUCAGUAGGCUGAGUAACAAAAAACCAGCCUGAUGCCCAUGUUGAGGAUGCUAAAAAAGUGUCUCAUAUGCCUACACAUCCAGUGUUCCAGCAGUCAUGGAAAUUCAUCAGGGUACCAUCAGCCCCAGUGCCCAAUGCAUUAACCUCAAUUGGUUAAUGCCACCAAACUAGAAGAUAGCCAAACCAAUGUUAGUACAUCCUUUGAGAAGACGGCAGAAUUCAAUUUGGCAAUAAGCUCUUGAUCAGUCAGAAGAUCAUCUGGGCCAGGCAUGGUGGCUCACACCUGUAAUCCCAGCACUUUAGGAGGCUGAGGAGGGAAGAUUGCUCGAGCCCAGGAGUUUGAGACCAGCCUGGGCAACAUGGAGGGAGACUCUGUCUCACAAGAAAUUUUUAAAAAUUAGCCAGGUGCAGUGGCAUGCACCUGUGAUCCCAGUUACUUGGGAGGCUGAGGUGGGAGAAUCACUUGAGCACAGGAGGUCAAGCUGCAGUGACAGCUGUGUUCAUGCCACUGCACUCCAGCCUGAGUGACAGAACAAGACCCUCUCUUUUUUAAUUAAAAAAAAUAAUAAAAUAGAGAUGGGGGUUCUCCCUGUGUUGCCCAGGCUGGUCACGAACUCCUGUGCUCAAGCAAUCCACCAGCCUCAGCCUCCCCAAGUGCUGGGAUUACAGGCCUGAGCCACCACACCCGGCAGAGACUCUGUCUCUAAAAAUAAAAAUAAUAGGCUGGGUGCGGUGGCUCAGGCCUGUAAUCCCAGCACUUGGGGAGGCCAAGGUGGGUGGAUCACUUGAUGCCAGGAGUUCAAGACCAGUCCAGCCAACAUGGCGAAACCCCAUCUCUACUAAAAAUAGCUGGGAAUGAUGGCACGAGCCUGUACUCCCAGCUACUUGGAAGGUUGAGGCAUGAGAAUCGCUUGAACCCAGGAAGGCGGAGGUUGCAGUGAGCCGAGAUUGCGCAACUGAACUCCAGCCUGGACAACAGAACGAGACUCUGUCUAAAACAAAAAACAACAACAACGAAAAAAAUCAUGACCCGAGCAGUGUUUUCUUUUCUUUCUUCCUUUUUUUUUCUUUUCUAAUAGAGAGAGGGGUCUCACGUUCCCCAGGCUGGCCUUGGACUCCUGGGUUCAAACAAUCCUCCUGCCUUUGCCUCCCAAAGUGCAAGGAUUACAGGCAUGAGCCACCACGCCUGGCCCUGGGAAGUGUUUUAUACUUUGGUCUUGCAGCUAUGACUGUGUGUGAAGGUGAUCUUAUAGUCAGUAGUAUCCUUAGAUUAUUGAGCUAAUGAACAGGUGUAUAGUAUUCAGUAUAAACUGUUUUACACUCAUAAUCCCUUUAAAACUCUCAAAUAACUCUAUGAAUUAAGUAUUACCUCCUUUUUAAUACUUAAUUCAUAGGGUUAAGAUGAUAAAAUUGAGGCUUGAAAGAUUACUCUGUCCAAAGUCAUAUCCAGGAAGAGAAGGAUCUGGGAUUUGAAUGCAGGCCUAUCUGACACCAAAAUAUAUACUGUAUCAACUACCUCUUACCACCAAAAGAUAAACGAGAACACAUUCCCCAGAGAGGUGAAAAUAAAUAGGACAGAGGAUAUAAUAUGUUGAAAUUCUUAGAGAAAAAGAGUUAAAAUAAAAAUCUAAGGCAUUGUGUUUGUUUUUCUGAAAAGGUAUCUGUAGACUUAGCCCUAAAGUUGUUAUGCUACUUCACUAAUUGACAUUUAAUUAUAUUAUAUUCCAGAUCUAGAGAGACAGGCACCUCUUUGUGACUAAUUCCACACUAACAAAAAGAGAACAGUAUGUGUAAAUCUGAGAAAAAGAGUGCCACAGCAAACUGAAAGCACAAACACCAAAGAAGUCAUAUGCGCCAUUGCACUCCAGCCUGGGCGACAAAAGUGAAACUCUGUCCUCCCACCACACAAAAAAAGGAAAAGAAAACAAGAAUCUACAUUAAUUAAAAUGUGCACCUCAUCUUAAACAUAUCUAAUACAUGAAAACAGAGAUUCGCAUAAUAGGUAAACCAGUUAUAACUCAUGUCCCAAAAUACCAUAUCAGUAAAAAAUAGUACAAUAAGACAACAAAUAAUACAAUAAUAUUAGUUUAAAUAGCAAGUUCCCUUAUAAUUGAUAUUAAUCCAAUUGAAAACUUUAAUUCAUAUAAACUUUUCAGUGUCUGAAUUUGAAAAUGCAAAUGCUAGACUUACUUGAAAUUUUUGGCCAGGCGCGGUGGUUCAUGCCUGUAAUCCCAGCACUUUGGGAGGCGCAGGUGGGUGGAUCACAAGGUCAAGAGUUCGAGACCAGCCUGGCCAAUAUGGUGAAACCCUGUCUCUACUAAAAAUACAAAAAUCAGCCGGGCAUGGUGGCAGGCGCCUGUAAUCUCAGCUACUUGGGAGUCUGAGGCAGGAGAAUCACUUGAACUCGGGAGGCAGAGCUUGCAGUGAGCCGAGAUAGUGCCACUGCACUCCAGUCUGAGUGACAAAGCAAGACCCCACCUCAAGAAAAAUAAAUAAAUAAAUAAAUUUUCAAGCAAGAUAGAUUUUAGCUUAGGCCUAUGUUCACAAGGAACACUACAGGGGAAAUGCUGUAGAGAAUGUGUGAACAAAGACGUGAAAAGAAGAAGGAAGAAGUGGAAAUAGAUGAAAAUUCAAGGUUGAAGAUAAAAUACAAGGUCACUAAAAGAACCAGGAAGGAGAAAUAAAGUAUGCAGAAAAAACAGUGCUGGUGGCAUUACUCCCAUGUCACAAAGGGCAUCUUUCCCAACUCACUCCAUUUUGCAGUGGUAGGAUAUUCUUCCUCAUUUAAGUUUUGGAGUUGGUAUAAUGAAACAAAAAUUAAUCACAAACUAAAAGCAAGCAUUCUAGCAGGGAAAGCCUUAACUCACAACUAAGAAAGUAGAGCAUUUGCAGGAGAAGCAGAAUGAUGUAGGAUUACUCCUAAUGACAUAAUAUAUAGGCUGGGUGUGGUGGCUCACGCCUAUAAUCCCAGCACUUUGGAAGGCUAAGGUGGGAGGCUCGCUUGAAGCCAGGAGUUCAGAUCAGCAAGGACCACAUGGCAAGAUCCUGUCUCUACGAAAAAUAAAAAUUAGAGCUGGGCACAGUGGCACAUACCUGUAAUCCCAGCACUUUGGAUGGCUGAGGUGGGAGAAUCGCUUGAGCCCAGGAGGUCAAGGCUGCAGUGAGCUAUGAUGGUGCCACUGCCCUCCAGCCUAGGCAGCAAAGUGAGAUCCUGCCUCAAACAAAACAAAACAAAUUUGUUGGGUGUGGUGGCACAUGCCUGUAGUCCUACCUACUCAGGAGACAGGCGAGAGGAUCACUUGAGCCUAGGAGUUCAAGGCUACAGUGUGCUAUGAUCACACCACAGCCUGGGCAACAGAGCAGGACCCUGUCUCUUAAAAACAAAAAAAGAAGCUAAGAAAGAAAUAGGCUGGGCGCAGUGGCUCAUGCCUGUAAUCCGAACACUUUGGGAGGUCAAGGCUGGUGGAUCACUUGAGGUCAGAAGUUUGAGACCAGCUUGUCCAACCCGGUGAAACCCCGUCUCUACUAAAAAUAUAAAAAUUAGCUGGGCGUGGUGGCACAUACCUGUAAUCCCAGCUACUGAGGAGGCUCAGGCAGGAGGAUCGCUUGAACCCAGGAGGCAGAGGUUGCAGUGAGCUGAGGUCGCGCCACUGCACUCCAGCCUGGGUGACAGAGACUCUGUCUCAAAAAAAAAAAAAAGGAAAAAAAGAAAAAAAAAGAAAUAUAUAUAUAUAUAUAUAAAUGGGGCAGCUAGGUGGGACAAUUGUGCCAUUCCUACUGAGACUGGAGUUCUCAUAAGACCCAUGGCGGCCAUAACAGAUCAAAUUCCUGUAGAGGAACCAUCCGUGACCAAGGAAGCAGACCAAUAAUUCAGUAAAAUGAUAAAAUGGUUCUUCAAUUUCAGUUCUCCUGUCCCCCCAAAUCUGGAAUUGUUAGGUUUGGCCAGAGAAAAAAGCUACAAGAGGGAGAAGCUCAAUCCUGACUUCAAAUAUUUGGACUCUAAAUUGCUUUCAAGACUGAAUACCGAAGCUCUGCUCAGCCCUUCAUGGUGAUUUGCAAGACAGUUCAAAUCUCUGCGGUAACCCUAUACAAAACACUUUCUCAGAAUAUGUGGGGAUACACAGGGUUUUGAGAACACUCCUCCAUUAUGCAUACAUUAGAAAUGGUUGGUGCCAUUAUCUCACACCUUCUUUACUUGCCAAGCUUCCCCCGGAACCUCCAGCUCAGAGAUCAUACUCUGCCCGCACAACAUACCCAGUACCUGGACUUCCAGGAAUCAGAACUUCAGCCCCUUCAUGUGGACCUUACUUUUUUGUCACGUCUUGGGUUGUCUUUUUAAAAUUUCUUUUUUUAGAUAGAGUCAGUUUCUUUUUCUCUCUCUCUUUUCUCUCUUCUCUCUCUCAUACAGGCUGGAGUGCAGUGGCACAACCUCCGCUCACUGCAACCUCCACCUCCUGGGUUCAAGCAAUUCUUGUGCCUCAGCCUCCUGAGUAGCUGGGAUUCCAGGCACCCACUACCACGCCCGGCUAAUUUUUUUUUUUUUUUUGUAUUUUUAGCAGAGACGGAGUUUCACCAUGUUGGCCAGGCUGAUCUCAAACUCCUGACCUCAGGUGAUCUGUCCGCCUCAGCCUCCCAAAGCGCUAGGAUUACAGGGGUGAGCCACCACGCCCAGCCAUGUUUCCUCCAUUUAUAUGACUUCUUAAAUAAAUCAUUUACGUGGGCAAACAUUCUCAUUGGGCCAUAACAUUGAACAGUCAAUCUCAUUACUCAACAGCCACAUUUCACGUACUGACUACUCAAUCCUUAGAGUCCUGCAACAACUUCCCUCCCCUUUUAUUAAUAUUUCGCAAUAACUCCCUUUUAAUUAUCAAGUCUUUAUACAGCAGAUUUUUCUACAUGGAACCUAUUAUACUUCAAAGGAGUACAGGCAAUGGUAAGUCAAAUAGGAUGCUACGCCUCUUCUCUAAAUGGCCUAGGCCGGUAUGGUGGGUGGCUCACACUUGUAAUCCCAGCAUUUUGGGAGGCUGAGGCAGGAGGAUGCUUGAGCCCAGGAGGUCAAGACCAGUAUGGGCAAUAUAGGGAGACCCUGUCUCUACAAAAAAAUACAAAAUUAGCCAAGUGUGGUGGCACACACCUGUAGCCCCAGGUACUUGGGAGGCUGAGGUAGGAGGAUCGCUUGAGCCUGGGAGGCAGAGGCUGCAGUGAGCUGAGAUGGUGCCACUGCGCUCCAGCCUGGGUGACACGCACACACAAAAAAAGAUGCAUGUUCAAAUAUAUGUGACCUAAAUGGCAUCCAUACAGAAUAACCAGUUUUUAAAAAGAAUGAUGUAGAACUAAAAAUUCUAGUAUAGUAAGAUAUUCAAGAUAUGCUAAAUACAAAAAUCAAAUUGCAGGUCAUUAGUAUAACAUGAGCCCAUCUGUGUGUGUGUGUGUGUGUGUGUGUGUGUGUGUAUGUGUGUGCAUGUGUGAUGGGGGAAAUUCUUUGCAAUGAUUACCUCUACAGAGUGGGACUAAGAGGUAAGGGGGAAAGUUAUAUGAUACCAUUCUUUAUUGUUUGAAUUUAUCAUUCUGUGUAUUACUUUCAUAAUGAAAAAGCUAGUAUAAAAUUUUCACUUAAUUGAAAGGAUUAUUAGUGAACAUAUGCAAUGUUUUAAAGCAAACUGAAUAAUUACAGUGUUCUAGCACUAUGCCAAUUCUUACCAAUUAUACAUCACUGGCACAAUAAAAAUUUUUUGUAGCUAAAGAAAGCCUAAGAGAUUUUCUGGUAAAUUUAAGGAUCUAUAAUUUCAAAGUUGUAUAAGUUCAUUUCCAUAAAUUCGAAGACUACUCUAAAAAACCCUGACUUCAGGUAAAAAUAGUUAAGUGUAAUUUAUAGUCAAUAUAUUAAUAAAGGCCAGGCGUGGUGGCUCAUGCCUGUAAUCUCAACACUUUGGGAGGCCAAGGCAGGAGGACUGCUUGAGGCCAGGAGUUCAAGACUAGGUUGGCAACAUGGUAAGAUCCUGUCUCUACAAAAAAACAUUAGCAGGGCUUCGUGGUGUGUGCCUGUAGUCCUAGCUACUUGGGAGGCUGAGGCAGGAGGAUCACUUGAGCCUGGGAGUUUGAGGCUGCAGUGAGCUAUAACUGGCACUGCACUCCAGCCUGGGUGACAGAGGGAGAUAUAAUUCUUGUUUUGUUUUCUUUGAGAUGGGGGUCUUACUUCGUCACUUAAGCUACAGUGCAGUGGCAUGAUCACAGCUCACUGCAGCCUCCAACCCUAGGCUCAAGUAAUCACUGCCAUACCUGGCUAAUUUUUUUAACUUUUUGUAGAGAUGGGGGGGCGGGUCUCACUUUGUUGCCCAGGCUGGUCUUGAACUCCUGACCUGGCUUAAAGUGAUCCUCCCAUUUUGGCCUCCUAAAGUGCUGGGCUUACAGGCAUGAGCCACUGUGCCUCAUCUAUAUAUUUAAUUUUAUGCAUCAUUUGCAGUAAGAGUCACAAAUGCAAAGAUUUGGAAGAAACCUUAAAAGUCACCUAGCCUUGGGCCAGGUGCGGUGGCUCACACCUGUAAUCCCAGCACUUUGGGAGGCCGAGGUGGGUGGAUCAUGAGGUCAGGAGUUCAAGACCAGCCUGGCCAACAUAGUAAAACCCCAUCUCUACUAAAAAUAGAAAAAUUAGCAUGGCAUGGUGGUCCGUGCCUGUAGUCCCAGCUACUCAGGAGGCUGAGGCAGGAGAAUUGCUUGAACCCGGGAGGCAGAGGUUGCAAGUGAGCUGAGAUCAGGCCAUUUAACUCCAGCCUGGGCAACAGAGUGAGACUCCGUCUCAAAACAAAAAAGUCACCUAGUCUUGGCCAGGCACGGUGGCUCACACCUGUACUCCCAGCACUUUGGAAGAUGAGACGGGGGAUCACUUGAGCCCAGGAGUUCAAGACCAACCUGGCAGGCAACACAGUGAGACCUCAUUUCUAUAUUUUAUUUUAUUAAAAAAAAUUUUUUUGAGACAGUCUUGCUCUGUCACCCAGCCUGGAGUGCAGCAGCCUGAUCUCAACUCAUUGCAACCCCACCUCCCAGGUUUAAGCAAUUCUCAUGUCUUAGACUCCCAAGUAGCUGGGAUUACAGGUGUGUGCCACCACGCCCAGCUAAUUUUGUAUUUUUAGUAGAGACAGGGUUUCACCAUGUUGGCCAGGCUGGUCUUAAUCUCCAGGCCUCAAGUGAUCUGCUUGCCUCAGCCUCCCAAAUUGUUGGGAUUACAGGCAUAAGCCACGGUGCCCAGACUCAUUUCUAUAUUAAAAAAAAAAAAAAAGAAAAAGGCAUCUAGUCCAACUUUCCUACCCAAACACCUAGACAUAAAAAAAAAAAAAAAAAAAAAAAAAAAAAUCCAAACCAAUAGCAGCCUGCUGAGGAAAGAACUGAGGUUGAGAACCAGUACUAGGAAUAUAAGACAACCAGAUACGUCUCCUCCUCAAAAUGGAGACACCUGGUAAUCAUUCACUAAGAAGCAUUUUGGUGUAAUAUAACAAGUUGCUCAGGUCAGUUUUAAACAAGUCAUUGACUUAAUUUUUUGGUUUCAAAGUUU